rnacentral:snRNA from 1 species
GAGUGUGAGCUGUCUGUCUGUGACAUAUGCCACCAAGCUGAUUGCCAGGGUUCAUUCUUGGAUCUGGCUGGCUGGGUGUCUCCUUCCUCCCCGGCUCCAUAUGUCUGUGUCAUUCCCUGAGUUGCACAGUCAGCGGAAGAGGACCCCGAAGAGAAGGACCCCACUUCAGUCAAGGGUAUACCAGCCAGCAGCUGCACUCCCCUGAUAGAUCUCCAAAUGAGCUCUCAAAAUAGACUUACCAGUCAGGAUCCGUCAUCUGUUCUCCAGCCUUUGAGAGAACACUUAUGUUGUCCCCAGAG